UGGUAGUUUAGUUAGCUGUCUGCUGUCUGGCCUCAAGUGAUUUCUUCCUAAACCGUCUGCCCCCAAGGAUAUAACACUUUCUCUGCUGAGGGAAGGUGUAAUCUGAACAGAUGGGAAAUAUACAUGGGAAAAAUCAGAUAUCGAGGAAUGUACCUGUUGGUCAACUGAGAGAGCUUCUACCUCAUUCCCCUGGACUCCAAAAUUAGGAUUUAACCUAUACAGUUUAAUAGACAUCAUUUGGGGGUAAUUACCUGUGUGUCAGCAAUAUGUUAAUCUGGGCCAUGGGCGGAACCAUUAUGUAAUCUUUUAGACCAUUGUCUUAGUGUGCUCAUCUUGUCUUGCUGUUAGAACCUAUCCAGGGGUUUGGGAAAACCCAUCCCUGUCGCUUCUCUCCACCCAAUGAGAACCAUAUAUAAUCUAUUGUAACUAAUUGUUCUGCAGCGUCUCUGAGCCUAAUAAGCAAAGUGACACUCCGCCAGCGCUGUGCAUAAUAAACUCCUGCGCUUGACUCUA